rnacentral:rRNA from 1 species
GACGAACGCUGGCGGCGUGCUUAACACAUGCAAGUCGAACGGAAAGGCCCUGCUUUUGUGGGGUGCUCGAGUGGCGAACGGGUGAGUAACACGUGAGUAACCUGCCCUUGACUUUGGGAUAACUUCAGGAAACUGGGGCUAAUACCGGAUAGGAGCUCCUGCUGCAUGGUGGGGGUUGGAAAGUUUCGGCGGUUGGGGAUGGACUCGCGGCUUAUCAGCUUGUUGGUGGGGUAGUGGCUUACCAAGGCUUUGACGGGUAGCCGGCCUGAGAGGGUGACCGGCCAUAUUGAGACAGAUAUAGCGCCGAGUCUCCUGCGAGAGACAGGAGGGGAGAAUAGUGCACAGGGGGCGGAAGUGUGAUGGAGAAACGCCGCGUGGGAUAUGAGGGUCUUGGGGGUGUAAACCGUUUGCGCGUGUGACGGAGCGUGAGUGACGAUUAUGUAUAGAGAAACACCGGAAAACUGCG